UCAAGUAUUGUCUUUUAGUUUGAUGUGUCAAACACUUGCUGAUAUUUGGUUUUCUCUCUCUUUCUUCUUCUUUCUUUUCUUUUCAGAGAGAUAAUGAAGAUGAAGAGUUAUAUAUGUAGUGUUUUUGUCCCAACAAAUCAUCUAUAUAUAGGUGAUAUAUUUCUCGUUAACUCCAAAGAUAUCAUAAGACCAAAUCUGUCUAUCCGAGAAGGCAUAGAGAUCAUUGUUUCUGGGGGUAUGACAAUGCCCCAAAUCAUUUCUCCUCAAGAAAGGGUUACCCAACAGAGUGAUAAAAUUCCUUUGAACAGAAUAAAGUGAUGUCAUCAAACAAGAGACGAUCCUGGUAAGAUUAUAAUUCUUUCCUUGUCUGCCAAGAUGUAUCGAGGAUCAAAGUCUUCUCAGUGCGCUGGAACUAUGAGAUUAGGUUGUUCAUAAUAGUAGGCUUUAUGAUGAAAUAGUAUGCCUCUUUUGAUUUUGUAGUGAUGCUCAUAUUUGGAAGUGCAUUUGUAUACCAUUUAAUUAUGCAUCUGUGUUCAUUUAUAGAACCAAAUGAUUCUUUAGUAUAUAUAAAUUUAUUGAGCCGUUCAAUUACGA